rnacentral:rRNA from 1 species
UGCCCUACAGUUCCCUGUCCGGGAACAAGGAGCAGGUAUCAGGCUCAUUUAUAAAGCCCACAACACCUUGCUCAGCCACACCCUCAAGGGAUCUCAGCAGUGAUAAACAUUAAGCCAUAAGUGAAAACUUGACUUAGUUAAAGCUAAAAGGGCCGGUAAAACUCGUGCCAGCCACCGCGGUUAUACGAGAGGCCCAAGUUGAAAGACACCGGCGUAAAGCGUGGUUAAGUUAAAAUUUAAACUAAAGUUAAACAUCUUCAAGACUGUUAUACGUACCCGAAGACAGGAGCCCCAAUCACGAAAGUAACUUUAUAUAAGCUGACUCCACGAAAGCUAUAGCACAAACUGGGAUUAGAUACCCCACUAUGCCUAGCCAUAAACAUUGAUAGCACAACACCCCGCUAUCCGCCAGGGAACUACGAGCAACAGCUUAAAACCCAAAGGACUUGGCGGUGCUUUAGACCCACCUAGAGGAGCCUGUUCUAGAACCGAUACCCCCCGUUCAACCUCACCCUUUCUUGUUUUUACCGCCUAUAUACCGCCGUCGUCAGCUUACCCUGUGAAGGACAAAUAGUAAGCUAAGCUGGCAUAGCCUAACACGUCAGGUCGAGGUGUAGCGUAUGAGAGGGGAAGAAAUGGGCUACAUUCACUAUUUUAGUGAAUACGAAAAGUAUACUGAAACGUAUAUUAGAAGGAGGAUUUAGCAGUAAGUGG